GCUCCACCCUUCCUCCGCCCGCCCAGCUGCAACGUGGCAGCCAAGUGAGGGCCUCGGGGCGGUGC
rnacentral:pre_miRNA from 2 species